rnacentral:tRNA from 11 species
GCGGUGGUAGCUCAGUUGGUAGAGCCCUCGGUUGUGGUCCGAGUGGUCGUGGGUUCGAGUCCCAUCCAUCGCCCCA